rnacentral:misc_RNA from 1 species
GAAAUGCGAUAAGUAGUGUGAAUUGCAGAAUUCGGUGAAUCAUCGAAUCUUUGAACGCACAUUGCGCCCCUUGGUAUUCCAUGGGGCAUGCCUGUUCGAGCGUCAUUUGUACCCUCAAGCUCUGCUUGGUGUUGGGUGUUUGUCCCGUCUCCGCGCGUGGACUCGCCCCAAAGUGAUUGGCAGCCGGCGUACUGGUCCCGGAGCGCAGCACAUGUCGCGCAAACGAGUGCCUUGGUACGGCGGCGUCCAUAAGCCCCUCUCUCACGCUCUUGACCUCGGAUCAGGUAGGGAUACCCGCUGAACUUAAGC